UACAGAGGUCCCAAGCGUUGUUCGGAUUCACUGGGCGUAAAGGGUGCGUAGGUGGCUUGGUAAGUUUGAUGUGAAAUCUCCGGGCUUAACCCGGAAAUGGCAUUGAAUACUAUUGAGCUGGAGGUUUGGAGAGGAGACUGGAAUUUACGGUGUAGCGGUGAAAUGCGUAGAUAUCGUAAGGAAGACCAGUGGCGAAGGCGGGUCUCUGGACAGUUCCUGACGCUGAGGCACGAAGGUCAGGGGAGCAAACGGG
rnacentral:rRNA from 1 species